rnacentral:rRNA from 1 species
CUUGUCUCAUGUUGCCAGCACGUAAUGGUGGGGACUCGUGAGAGACUGCCGGGGUCAACUCGGAGGAAGGUGGGGAUGACGUCAAGUCAUCAUGCCCCUUAUGUCCAGGGCUUCACACAUGCUACAAUGGCCGGUACAAAGGGCUGCGAUGCCGCGAGGUUAAGCGAAUCCUUAAAAGCCGGUCUCAGUUCGGAUCGGGGUCUGCAACUCGACCCCGUGAAGUCGGAGUCGCUAGUAAUCGCAGAUCAGCAACGCUGCGGUGAAUACGUUCCCGGGCCUUGUACACACCGCCCGUCACGUCAUGAAAGUCGGUAACACCCGAAGCCAGUGGCCUAACCCUCGGGAGGGAGCUGUCGAAGGUGGGAUCGGCGAUUGGGACUAAGUCGUAACAAGGUAGCCGUACCGGAAGGUGCGGCUGGAUCACCUCCUUUCUAAGGAGCACCACGAAAACGCCCCAACUGGUGGGGCGUAGGCCGUGAGGGGUUCUUGUCUGUAGUGGGCGAGAGCCGGGUGCAUGACAAC